CACAACGACCUCAACAAAACCCAUACCCAUUUCCUCCUCUAUCUCCAGAGGCCGAAACGGCAGAAGCCAUUUCCGAAAUGGAAACCAAACCCUCUCGGCAAACUCCACCCUCUCUGUCUCCGACCCGGCGAGACCCGAGCGAUCCCUCACUCUGCCACGAUGCUGCGCCGAGCCACGACUCUCUUAACCCAAUCAGCCAUCCCCUUAGUGCCAGUCCCUUCUCCACCGACGUCGCUGCGACUGCCCCAGCCGAUUCUACUUCUGGAAGAAAGUGGUGCCUCACAUAGAACCCCCCAAGCUACGAUGCAUGGACACGGGGAAAACUCAACGUAUCCCGUAUCUGACACGCAGGGAUACGGAUACGUACAAAAUACGUGUGGAUACGCGCCCGAUACGUAUCGGAACGAAGGGAUACGUUCUUUAUUACCAAGAUACGCGUAUCAUAUCGUCGAGAUACGCGUAUCAUAUUUUUCGGAUACGUUUCAAGCAAAAUCAGAGGAUAAUCAGAAAAAAAAUCUAGAUCCGCACAGAAUCGUGAUUGAUUCGAAUUAGAUAACUGAAACGAUUGUUUAACUAAAAACCAAAACGAUUUCGAACCUCAGAAAUCAGACUCAUCUGCAAUUGCUCCGUCCGUCCGUCGUCUCUAUCGUCUCCGUCUGCAACUGCUCCAUCGUCUCCAUCGUCUCCGUCUGCAACUGCUCCAUCGUCUCCAUCGUCUCCGUCUGCAACUCCUGGAAAAUGAAUCAUCCUGAUAAUCAUGCGAAUGCUAAUGUCAACCUAGUUGAGAAUGUUGAAAAUGAUCAUGGUACACUAUGGAAGUAUGUCAAAAAGCUCGAAAGAGUGGAAAAUGGAAGAGGAGGUAGUGUGUUUCAAUGCAAUUAUUGUCAAAAGAUUUUCAGAGGAUCCUACUCUAGGAUCAAGUUUCAUUUGUUAAAAGUGUCUGGAAAUGGGAUCGUCUCUUGCAAUAAGGUUACUGAUGAAGCUCUUGCAUAAAUGAAAAAGCUAGCUCGAGAAUGAGGGACUCUUUCUUUUUAUUUUUUAAGUCGUUUGGAUGUUCUUUUUAGUUUUUCAAGUUUGAAGACUAAUUUGUUUAGUGGAUUAUCUUUUAAAUGUUUGAAGUUUAUCGAAAUAAAUUUGAACUUGAAUAGUAUAUUUGAAUGCUUAUUUUAUAAUAUUUAGAUAUAUUUAUUUAUUUA